rnacentral:rRNA from 1 species
GAGGUUAAGCGACUAAGCGUACACGGUGGAUGCCCGCAGUCAGAGGCGAUGAAGGACGUGCUAAUCUGCGAUAAGCGUCGGUAAGGUGAUAUGAACCGUUAUAACCGGCGAUUUCGAAUGGGGAAACCCAGUGUGUUUCGACACACUAUCAUUAACUGAAUCCAGGUUAAUGAGGCGAACCGGGGAACUGAAACAUCUAAGUACCCGAGGAAAGAAAUCAACCGAGAUUCCCCAGUAGCGGCGAGCGAACGGGGAGCCAGAGUGAACCAGUGUGUGUGUUAGUGGAAGGUCUGGAAAGGCGCGCGAUACAGGUGACAGCCCUGCACAAAAACACAUGCUGUGAGCUCGAUGAGUAGGGGGGACACGUGGUAUCCUGUCUGAAUAUGGGGGACCAUCCUCCAAGGCUAAAUACUACUGACCGAUAGUGAACCAGUACCGUGAGGAAAGGCGAAAAGAACCCCCGAGGGAGUGAAAAAGAACCUGAAACCGUGUACGUACAAAGUGGAGCACGCUUAGGCGUGUGACUGCGUACCUUGUAUAAUGGGUCAGGACUUAUAUUCUGUAGCAAGGUUAACCGAAUAGGGAAGGAAACCGAGUCUUAACUGGGCGUUAAGUUGCAGGGUAUAGACCCGAAACCCGGUGAUCUAGCCAUGGGCAGGUUGAAGGUUGGGUAACACUAACUGGAGGACCGAACCGACUAAUGUUGAAAAAUUAGCGGAUGACUUGUGGCUGGGGGUGAAAAAUCAAACCGGGAGAUAGCUGGUUCUCCCGAAAGCUAUUUAGGUAGCGCCUCGUGAAUUCAUCUCCGGGGUAGAGCACUGUUUCGGCAAGGGGUCAUCCCGACUUACCAACCCGAUGCAAACUGCGAAUACCGGAGAAUGUUAUCACAGGGAGACACACGGCAGGUGCUAACGUCCGUCGUGAAGAGGAAACAACCCAGACCGCCAGCUAAGGUCCCAAAGUCAUGGUUAAGUGGGAAACGAUGUGGGAAGGCCCAGACAGCCGGGAUGUUAGAAGCAGCCAUCAUUUAAAGAAAGCGUAAUAGCUCACUGGUCGAGUCGGCCUGCGCGGAAGAUGUAACGGGCUAAACCAUGCACCGAAGCUGCGGCAGCGACGCUUAUGCGUUGUUGGGUAGGGAGCGUUCUGUAAGCCUGCGAAGGUGUGCUGAGGCAUGCUGGAGGUAUCAGAAGUGCGAAUGCUGACAUAAGUAACGAUAAAGCGGGUGAAAAGCCCGCUCGCCGGAAGACCAAGGGUUCCUGUCCAACGUUAAUCGGGGCAGGGUGAGUCGACCCCUAAGGCGAGGCCGAAAGGCGUAGUCGAUGGGAAACAGGUUAAUAUUCCUGUACUUGGUGUUACUGCGAAGGGGGACGGAGAGGCUAUGUUGGCCGGGCGACGGUUGUCCCGGUUUAAGCGUGUAGGCUGGUUUUCGAGCAAAUCCGGAAAAUCAAGGCUGAGGCGUGAUGACGAGGCACUACGGUGCUGAAGCAACAAAUGCCCUGCUUCGGAAAAGCCUCUAAGCAUCAGGUAACAUCAAAUCGUACCCCAAACCGACACAGGUGGUCAGGUAGAGAAUACCAAGGCGCUUGAGAGAACUCGGGUGAAGGAACUAGGCAAAAUGGUGCCGUAACUUCGGGAGAAGGCACGCUGAUAUGUAGGUGAGGUCCCUCGCGGAUGGAGCUGAAAUCAGUCGAAGAUACCAGCUGGCUGCAACUGUUUAAAAACACAGCACUGUGCAAACACGAAAGUGGACGUAUACGGUGUGACGCCUGCCCGGUGCCGGAAGGUUAAUUGAUGGGGUUAGCGCAAGCGAAGCUCUUGAUCGAAGCCCGGUAAACGGCGCCGUAACUAUAACGGUCCUAAGGUAGCGAAAUUCCUUGUCGGUAAGUUCCGACCUGCACGAAUGGCGUAAUGAUGGCGGCUGUCUCACCGAGACUCAGUGAAAUUGAACUCGCUGUGAAGAUGCAGUGUACCCGCGGCAAGACGGAAAGACCCGUGAACCUUUACUAUAGCUUGACACUGAACAUUGAGCCUUGAUGUAGGAUAGGUGGGAGGCUUUGAAGUGUGGACGCCAGUCUGCAUGGAGCCGACCGAAAUACCACCCUUUAAUGUUUGAUGUUCUAACGUUGACCCGUAAUCCGGGUUGCGGACAGUGUCUGGUGGGUAGUUUGACUGGGGCGGUCUCCUCCUAAAGAGUAACGGAGGAGCACGAAGGUUAAUCUGGUCGGACAUCAGGAGGUUAGUGCAAUGGCAUAAGCCAGCUUGACUGCGAGCGUGACGGCGCGAGCAGGUAGCAGGUCAUAGUGAUCCGGUGGUUCUGAAUGGAAGGGCCAUCGCUCAACGGAUAAAGGUACUCCGGGGAUAACAGGCUGAUACCGCCCAAGAGUUCAUAUCGACGGCGGUGUUUGGCACCUCGAUGUCGGCUCAUCACAUCCUGGGGCUGAAGUAGGUCCCAAGGGUAUGGCUGUUCGCCAUUUAAAGUGGUACGCGAGCUGGGUUUAGAACGUCGUGAGACAGUUCGGUCCCUAUCUGCCGUGGGCGCUGGAGAACUGAGGGGGCUGCUCCUGUACGAGAGGACCGGAGUGGACGCAUCACUGGUGUUCGGGUUGUCAUGCCAAUGGCACUGCCCGGUAGCUAAAUGCGGAAGAGAUAAGUGCUGAAAGCAUCUAAGCACGAAACUUGCCCCGAGAUGAGUUCUCCUGACUCCUUGAGAGUCCUGAAGGAACGUUGAAGACGACGACGUUGAUAGGCCGGGUGUGUAAGCGCAGCGAUGCGUUGAGCUAACCGGUACUAAUGAACCGUGAGGCUUAACCUUACAACGCCGAAGCUGUU